UAGCUCGUGGAAACACGGGGUAAUACCGGAUAAGCUCGAAGGGCUAUGGCUUUUUGAGGAAAGGCGCGGAUGCGCCGAGCGAGGAUGAGUCUGCGGCCCAUUAGCUAGUUGGCGGGGUAAAGGCCCACCAAGGCGACGAUGGGUAGCCGGCCUGAGAGGGUGAACGGCCACACUGGGACUGAGAUACGGCCCAGACUCCUACGGGAGGCAGCAGCUAAGAAUCUUCCGCAAUGGGCGAAAGCCUGACGGAGCGACGCCGCGUGGACGAUGAAGGCCGAAAGGUUGUAAAGUCCUUUUCUCUGUGAAGAAUAAGUGGGGGAGGAAAUGCCCUUAUGAUGACGUUAGCAGAGGAAUAAGCCCCGGCUAAUUACGUGCCAGCAGCCGCGGUAAUACGUAAGGGGCAAGC
rnacentral:rRNA from 1 species